UUGUUGAGGGCUGUGCUGUGAGGGCUUGGGGGUGCUACCAGGCUCUUGCAGCCCUGAUCAGCUGCCAUGAGCCUCACAGGUCCCUUUCUAACCUGGGGCCCGCAGUCCCUGCCCCAGUGCUGCUGUAGGGUGCUGGUCUCUGCCCUGGGGCAGAGCUGCUGGGCCCAGCCCUGUCACUGAGGCACAACCCGGGCUGGGCCUGGCCCUGGCUCCCCUCCUAGGGCUGAUCCCAUCCCUGCUCCUGGCCUGGGCAGGCUCCUGGCCCUCAGCAUUGCCUGACAGGAACACAGAAAUCUGCACCUCAAGAAAAUCCCCAAAUAUUCACAGUCCUGCUCUGAAAAUAUUUACUGACCAAGUGUGGAAGUCCUGCUUCAGACAAACAGCUUAGUGGCCUCCCUUUUCUUCCUCAGCACAUCUACCGCAAUGUAUGCUAACACAAGCUCGCCUUCCCUGUCUGGCAGUUCAAGAUGGUGGGAGCAGUGUGUGAACUGUGUUGCAGCCCAUCGAAAUGGUGUUUUCUUUCUCUUUCAUCUCUUACGAGCACAAAAUGCUGUAUGCCUUGGAACAUGCCAUGAAUGCAUGCUGGGAGUUCCUGGAGGUGCGUAAGCCUGCACAGGCUUUGUUCGUGACCGAUGAGUGCCCUAGGUUUUGUGCUGAGGAUGAAGAACUCCAGUUCCAGAGCUCCCAAUGAAGACUGCAAGCAGGGGAGUCCUUGUCUGCCUAAGUGCCCGGCAUUUGCCCCGCUACGUGCUCUGUUUCUUCCUGCUUGUCCACACAAGCGAAUCCCCCCAGCAGCCCUCAUGCAUUUCAGCACUGUCAAAAAACCUCGAGACAGCAUCAUGGAGUUGCUUUGGACCAGAAAGUGUGACCCAGUCAGGUCUGUGCUGCUUAACCAAGCCUCGCUUUCACCAGUGCAGCAGUCCAUGCAUGGAAAGCCAUUACAUUUCUUUUCCUUUCAGCAAGGUGUUCUGUUUUAUCACCUCAUGCUUAUCCAACAAGCAACUGCCAGAGACUGAGAUCUGACAGAGAUGUGAAUCCCCAGCUUCCUGGCUGGCAGCAUUAAUGGCCAUGCUUGCAGAGUAUUUUGCUGUCUUAAUAGCAGCUGUCAUCACUGCUAUGGGAAUGCCUCUCACUCUGACCAGCAGCCACAGAAGAUUAAUGUGUGUGAUCCUAGAGGAAUUGUUUCUUCUGGCUGCUGAUGUGACACAAUUAGCACCUUCAUCUCUAAGCUGGUACUUUGUUCCUUGUUAAUGAAAUGAUUGUUGAGGAUUUCCUUCCAGAGAGUUGGGGGAGUGCCAUGUCAGAGAGGCAGUGAUGAUGAAUCCGCUGAACAGAGGCACAGCUUGGGAGUGGUGCAGAGAUUGUAUUGCUCGUGUCACCACCUCAUUACUGUUGUUGGUUUUUAUGGCACCAUAAACAUUCGCCUGCACCGUUUCCCUCCCAUCGCAGACAGUGACACGAUGGAGCUAUCAGCGCCUACAAGGAGGCACUCAACAUGUUGCAGGAGUAAGCUCGGUGCCUAUACAAAGGACAGUGUGUAAACAGCCAAGGAGAAGUUGGAGCACAGGCAUCUGUAGGACAAACUAGGCAUCCUCUCCUGAGGCUGAGGGGUUACAUUUCAAAAGAAAACCUCAUCUCCAAAAUGGAGCCAUACAGCACUAAUGUUCUUUUGUCAUACUAUGAUUUCAAAGUGUAAGAAGUAGCCACACUCUGUGAUGUCUCCUGUUGUUGUGAAGUAAGGAAAUAUACCACCUUCACAGUUGUAUCUACACCACCACUAGUGUGCAAGGCAAGUUUUGCAAUUUUCAACAGGGAAAUUGUGCAAAGUGAAGCCCUGAAGCAUGUGGACGUUCCCAUAACUGGUUAACAGAAGAAAUUCAAGCAACUGACUCACUGACCUGCAUUCAUUUUCACUGCAGUCUUCAAACCCUAGACAGCAGGGGAGAGCGUGCUCAAAGCUGCAGUCAUUUCUGAACCGUGAGCUAUCUCCAGUGCAGCGUAGUCCUCUCCCAGCUUCGUGGGGACCAUGCUCAUUUGGUCGCAUAAUGCAAAAAAGCGGGAACCAUGAUACACGCUCUAGUGACUGGAGAUGACACAAGUUUCAGAUCCUCCUCCAAGCUCAAAUUCUCCAUAUGCAAACGGAAGAAUGAAAACAUAAGGGGAAAAUAUAACACUGAAAAUGAAGCGCUUUCAUGUCACAAAGAUGUAAUGCCAUUGUAAUGUUUUCAGAGCUAGCAAAGGGAGGAUGCUUCCCUGGUCAUGGUGCUUGGGAAGAGUCGGUUCAUACCUAGGUUCAGCUGCAGACUUCACAGGGCAACGGAGUCGGUUCAGGAAAAAGAUGAACAGUUUGGAUAGAAGGACAUGGAGCUGGCCACAAAAACUGAUAGCACGAGCUGCCCCUGUUUGGUGGGACAGAUAAUACUGGUGGGGCAACUGGAGCUACCUCGCUCUUCCCUGGGUGUGCUGCACCAGCUGUUGUGGGGUUUCUGCGCCGGCACACGAGAGCAGAGCUCGGAGAAACAGCAGAGAAGUUGCCAGGGGCUGUCUGGGAGUCCGGUGGAUGUGUGUGCAGAGGAAGCAUGAGCCAUUGCACCAGCUAUUUGGCAGUUGAGGAGCACGUCUGCGGAAACCAGGCCUUCUCUGAAAUGUGAGUUAUGCCAUUUCUCAAAACUGCGUGUAGCAAGAAAUGACUGGGAGGCCAGUGAUUCAUUCCGGGUUAAUGUAAAGGUACCAGAGGGGCUAAUAUAAAGGAAGAAAAUUGAUA